UCCGUUUCCGCCCACAGCAAACAAACCUGAAAAACAGAGUCUCUCUGCGCACCCGUUCCCGACAAAAUCAAAACCAAACAUUGGGCACCUCUACCCUUGCUUCGGUCAUCUUACCCAUCCUUGUCUCCUAUUGUCUUUCCUCCCAUCCACUCCAUUUUCUUUCCUCCCAUCCAUCCACUCUCUGAGCACCCGUUCCCGACAAAAUCAAAACUAAACAUCGGGCCACCAAUCUUCCUUCACUCCUCUUCUCUCACGCACGACUCUUCCACCCCUCCUAUUCUCUUUUGCGAUUCUGCAGCUUGCAGGUCAGGCGUUGUCGGUCCCCUUAGGGCUAACUCUAUUUCAGCUUAUUGUUUUAAAUUGUUAUUCACUGUUUACUUUGCCAUUGCAUUUAUUAAAAUUGUCAUAGAUAUUUUUUCUAUCAUUAAUGCUCUCAUAGAUAUUUUAUAUUGGUUAGCUAACUAUUAGGGUUUCCUCUUAAGUUUCCUCUUAGGUCAUUUGUUGGUUUUGGGAAAGAAGAGCCUUUUAAUCAGGCCAAUUGGGUCCUCUUGGCAAUACAAUGUCGAAAGUUUUAAGUACGAGUCUGAUAGUUUUGGCAAGAUGCAAAUGGAUUGUGAUUGGGAAGGUAACCUAAUCCUAAUAUAUUUUUUGAAGCAAUUUACUUAUUUUCACUUUUCAGUUUAAUGUGUCAAAGAGUUUUCAAGUGUUAAUGAGGACCUUGAAAAGGUUAAUUACUAGUGCUUUAGUGGUACAAAAUGUAAACAUCACUUUGAGUGAUUAAUACAAACUUUGUACGUUUUCGUUUUGAAUGUUGAAGUUGAAAAUUGCUUUGGUUAGGAUACUAAAUUACUAAUAAGGUCGUACCCAGUGCACAAGGCUUCCGCUUUACGCAGGGUCUAGGAGAGGUGAAUGUCGGCUAGUCUUACCCCCAUUUAUGGAGAGGCUGCUCCCAAGUCUCGAACCCGAUACCUACCGCUCAUGGGCGAAGGCACUUGCCAUCGCAUCAAGUGCGACCUCUUGGAUACUAAAUUACUCUUGGAUACUAAAUUACUAAUAAUCAGAAAAAAACUUUGACUAAAAUUCUUUCUUGUUGUUUUCAUAUGCUGCUUCUGUGGUGGGUUUUGAAAUUUCAAUUGUGGUUGUGAAAUUCACUUCUCAGGAUAGUUGCAAUAAUGCCUAUUUUUUCUCUCAAAGCUCUUUCAGCUGAGUUGCCAGAAUCAAUGAUUGAAGCUCUCCAUGACGAGUCAGACAUUGGCUUGGUACACAACUCUCACUCUUUCCUGCUUUUAAUUUUGAUUGUUUAUUAACCGUGCUUUUUAUUUGCAAUUUGUUGCUGAAUUUUAUUUUGAUAAUUUGUGAAUUUUGUUUUAUUUUUUGUUUAGGGUUAUUGCUCACAAAUUCUCUUUAGGCCAAACAAUAAAGUUAGAAGAGCUACGGAUUUCCUUUUGAUUGGUUCCCCUCUGUUGAGUGCAAACGUGCUCUUAAUAUACUUGAAUUGAUUCUAUGUUAGUUACUUUUGUGGAAUUGUUUGUGCUCACAUUUAAGAAUGCGAUUGUAUUGCUACAGCAAUUUCAAUUAAGUUUUUAUAUGGAUAUUAUUCAUAUAGGUUGUCGAUUAUGGUUUGAAAACCCACAGCAAAGCGCGGGCAUUCCUGCUAGUAUCGUUCUAUUUUCCAAAUUAUGUACCCUAAUACAAUUAUGUAUUCUUUUUUCAAGUAUAAGUAGAAAUUUAUUUA
rnacentral:lncRNA from 1 species